rnacentral:lncRNA from 1 species
AGAAGAUGGCCUUAUCUACAUCAAUGGGAGAGGAGGCCCUUGGUCCUGUAGAGAUUUGAUGCUCCAGCAGAGGGGGAUGUAGAGUGGUGAGGCAGGAGCAGCCUACACAGAGGUAAGGAGAGAAACCAGGAGAAUAUCUAAAGAAACUCGAUCUACACAAAAGGAUCUACCUCUAAUUUGCAGACUGUUCUAGUUCAUUCCUUAAAUAAGGAAUAUCAUUAUUUUGGCUCUGCGCAUCCUUCCUGCUUUGACAAACCCUUUCCAGUUCACCUGACUGCUGUUAAGCGGAUGAUCCAUGACUCUCCUGCAGGUAUCUUCAGGAAACUUGGACUGGUUUAAGCAGCCUGAAAAUGCGCUUGUCAGGAGUCUUGGUAUUCUGCCUGGACUCCAUCCCCACAAUUACCUGGCAACAGCCAGGUAUGCUCUGCCCCACAGUUACCUGGCAACAGCCAAGUAGGCCUGGCCCACUAUAAAAAGGGUUGCAUGACCCCUCCUCUCUCUGUUACUCCUGCUUCUCUCCCUUGCCUCUUACCCUCUUGCUCCCCUCUUCCCCCAUUCCCUUCCCCC